CAGAGGCCGGGAGCCAUUAGCUUGUCCUGCUGGUUGGGGAGAUGAGGACUGCGAUUUGUCAAAGUGAGUCAGGAGUGAAAGCCAAGGCCAGGUGGCCGACUGGCAAUAGUUGAAAAUAAACCAAACGUCCAUCAAGAAAAGGAGUGACUGAUCACAGGCAGCCCUCUGCUGUCAUACACAGUGGCAAAGAAAUCCAGAGGAUGUUCAUUCGAGAGUGAAGAUUUCCUGCCUGACUUCCCAUCUUUGUCACAAUUUAAUAAUCACGAGCAUUGACAUUUCGACAUUUCUAUUUCUCACUGGUUUUUAUAAAAUAAUAAAGAAAUGGGGACUCAGGGAGGUUAAGUACUUUGCUCAAGGACAUUACGGGGCAAAGCCUGGCCAUCUUGCUCCAGAAGGCAUGCUCUGUCCAUGUGGCUGCUAGAAAUGGUUCCCCGGCUGACUGAUGCAAGCCUGAGCGUGGCACAGGACAGGGAAGUAAGGAGUGUCAGUAUUAAUGUACAUAAAUGUAGAUUUUUCAAACUUGGUUAUAUCAACACCAUGGGGGCACAAAAUAGUUUAUGACUGCAGUGGGUGCAAAUUUAAAUGUUAACUCAGUUGGGCUAGAAACAUUGUUUCAUCAUUCCCACUGCCUGAAGUGAGUUUUCUUUUAAGACAUUUCACCAAAUGAGGGAAAUUCAUCUCAGUCAGCUGGUGGGGGGGGGGGGGGGGCUGCCUUGACCCUUUCCCAAGGGACUGGGUGGUGUUUAGUGUCACCUCCUUUGGGGGGUUGGGUGGGAGGUUGCGUUGCCAUUUGUUAGUGGGUCCCUGUGCACACCAUCUCCCUGCAUCCCGCCCCAGAGUCCUCUUGGCAGGGCUGGCUCUGGAGAAGUACUUCCAUGCCCCUCAGAAUCAGGAGCAUCCCUACAAUGUUCUGGCCACGUUUGAAGACCUAGUUUCCCUCUACCUUCUGAGAUUAAUGCCUGCAUCUCUGUGAGACCACUGUCAUGCCCUCCCCCCACCUCUACAUGUAGGGACUCUGCCUGGGAGAGGGAGGGGAGAGAGGGGGGACUAGAGCGGUAGCCCUUCCUCAGGAAACCAGCAGCAGUUCAGCUCUUGUCCUGGCCCCUUUAUUUCUCCUGUUCUCCUUCAAGGAAAGCUUUUUUUCUUUCUUUCUUUUCUUUCUCUUUUUCUUCCUCCCUCCCUUCCUCCCUCCCUUCCUUCCUUUCCUCCUUUCCCUUUUUUCUUUUGAGACUGAGAUCAACAGCUUUGCCAAGCGACUGUCUACCUCCAAAUCCAGUGUAUUAGACAAGAGAAAGAUUCCUUUCUCAUCCUACUGCUCUGGUUAUCUAUUGCUGCAUGACGAACCACUUCCAAAACAGCCGUAUAAAGCAUACAUUUUCUCUUGGUCUAGGAUUGCCAGAUAAAGUACUACAGAUAUUUUAACUGUAAAUACUGUUCCUAUUUACCUUUAAAGUUAAAAACAUUAAAAUUUAUCUUUAAGUAUAUAUGGAUAAAAAUUUAACCCUGGUUAAAUUUGAAUUUUAGAUUAGCAAUAUAUAAUUUUUUAGUCAGUCCCAUGCAUAUUUGAGACAUACUUGUUUGUCUCAAAUUUGAGACAUACAUUUGAGACUAAAAAAACUGCUCAUUGUUGAUCUGAAAUUCAAAUUUAAUGGAACAUCUUGGUUUUUUUUGUUUUUUUGUUUUUGUUUUUGAAAUCUUGCAACCUGCUCCAUGGCCUCACACUCUCCCCUCAGGUGAAGUCUCACCCUCCAGGGGUUUUCCAUGCAGUUAAGGACUCUCACAGAGUAGUAAGGUAGUCAGGCUUCCUACCCGGAGGCUCCCCGGAGGCUCUGAGACCUGGCUCUGAGAACAGGAAGUGGAAGCUGCCAGUCUCUUAAACCUUGGGCCUGUCAACUGGUGCAUAUCACUUCCACCUUAUUCUAUUGGUCAAGCAGUCACAAAACCCACCUGGCCUCCACAGGAGGAGACAUAGACCCCACCUCUUAAGGGGAGCAGUGGCAAAGAAUUUGCAGUCAUCUUUAAUCUGUUGCACCCACUGAGAAGGAAUAGAUUUUCGGCCACCCCAAAGCUUGAAUAUCGUGUGUAUUUCUCCCUUCCAGCAUCCCUUUCCUAAGGCAAUGACAACAGCUCAUUUCAGCUUCUUUCUGGUUGGGAGAAGGGUCCCGGGAAAAGAGGAUUUCAGAAGGGUAGGGGAAUUGUGGUUAGUGUUUCAUAUAUGAUUUCUCCAUGCAACAAAAAAUGGAUAGAGUUGAAGAAUAUAUAAUAAUUCAGAAAGAUAUUAAUAAAAUGUUAAGUUUAAAAAUCAGGUGACAAAAAUGUAUUUACAGUAUAAAGUUUUUAAAAAAAUGUUACUAUAUAAAUGUUGGAUAGCUAUAUGCAAAAAUAUUAUCAGUGGUUUAUCUGUAAAAGGUGUGAUUCUGGCACAUUUUAAUCUUUAUGCUUAUAUAUGUUUUUGAUAUUUUAUAAAAUGAAUAGGUAUCACUUCUUAGAAAAAAGAGGUUAUCAUAAAAUAAAACAAAAAGCAAUCCACUGUCCUCCUAAUUAUUAACCAUUUUGUUCUUUGUACAAAUUCUGUUGAGCAUCUAGCAGGUACCAGUUGCUGUUCUACACACUGGAGAUUCUGCCAUGAACAAGCCAGCUAAGAUCUCCUCCAGAGCCUCUGGACAGAGCAUGGCCCUGCCAAUGCUUUUAUUUUGGACUCCUGGCCUCCAGAACUUGAGAAGAUUUUCUGGGUUUUUGUUGUUGUUGUUGUUGUUGUUGUUGUUUUGUCACCCAGGUUGUGGUAAUUUGUUGCAGCAGCCAUGGGGAACUAAUACAAGCCCUUUAUUCCUUGCAUCUUAUUAACCAAGGAUGUAGAUUCCAUUUUGGAAGUAGGCAAUCUAAUUGCCCCCACUUUACAGAUGGGGAAACUGAGAUUCUGCAAAAAUCAGUAGUUUGCCCCAGAACCCACAGAGCGUGUCUUCCACAGCAGGGCCAGGACUCAAACCUUGGUUUCUCUGUCCCUAAUGUUUGGCCUGUCUCCAUGAUGCCACAGCUUGUAGACAUGGGUUUCUAGCAGUUUCUAUUAAGUAUCAUACAAUUGUUUCUAGGGUCAUCAGUCCCUGUCCUGCCUAUCAUCCUGCAGUGACAAAGAAACCAGCCCUGAGGGCCUCUCCAUGUCAGGAGCUCCCCCUCCUCUUGGUUAAUGAGGAGGAAAGGGUUCUUGCAUCGGGCCCUGCCUUCUUUCUUUGUCUCUAACCGGCUGUAAGUCCAUGCUGGGAUGAAUGGGAUUCAGACAGGUGUUUCCAAGUGUGCUGCUGGUAAGCCCUCUACCUCAUUUCGUUGAGGCCAGGGUGAAGCCAGACCUCUCUCAAGAAACCUCAGCCUCUCCUCUGACCAGGCAAGCAGUGAAUGCCAUUGCUUUCCUUUCUUUACAAAUUUUUUUUUCCAGAUUUUAAAAUGAAUACAUGCUUUUUGGGGAAAAAUAAAAAUGAUAAAAACAAAAUAAUGAAGGACAAAGAAGAAAAUAGAAAUGACUUAUAGGCACCAGCAGUUUCCUAUUUAUAAAUGUACAGAAGGAAAAAAAAAACUAUACUCAGAUAUGCAUCUAGUUAUGCUGCAUAUAUAGAUACAUACAUUCACAGAACAAAUUCAACUGUUUAAAAAUGAACACUUUUACAUAGACUCUUUUUCCUUUUGGAGACAUCUGGCCCGAAGAACAAUUUUUGCACUCUAAGCAUUUCCCGAGGUUGUUAAAAAUUCUUUGUAAAUACGAUUUUUUAAUGGCCGCAUACUAUUCUAUCAAGUGGAUCACCACUUCCUAAUCAUUUAUUAUCUAUUACUAAGCACUCAGAUUUUUUUCUAGCUUCUCAACUUAAAAAACACUGUUAUGAGCAUACUUGACAUAAGACUUUGUGUCCCUUUCUUUUUAUGCUCUUGGCAUGAAAUUAUUGGGUUCAAAGCUAUAAACAUAAUAUUUUACAGCUUUAUUGAGGUAUAAUUUACAAAACAUAAAACUCACCUAUUGUGAGUAAUUCAAUGAUUUUUAAUAAAUUUUUAGUCAUGCAAUCACCUCCACAAUCCAGCUUUAGAACACACUUGUCACCACAUUUCCUCAAGUUCUUUUAGUGUCAAACUCACUCCCACUCCAGCCCCAAACAGCCACUGAUCUACUUUAUGUAUAGAUUUGCCCUUUCUGGACAUUUCGUAUAAACAGAAUCAUACAGUAUGUAUUCUUUUUCUACAUGGUUGCUUUUUCUUAGCAUACUGUUUUUGUGAUCCAGUGAUGUAGCUAGAAGUAAGACUUUGUUCCUUAUUUUUUUUUGCUGAGUAGUAUCUCAUUGUAGGCAUAUGCCACAUUUUGUUCAUCUAUUCACCUGUUGGUGGAAAUCUGAAUUGUUUCCAGUUUGGGCCUAUUAAGAAUGAUUUAGCUAUGAAUAUUUGAGACAUGCUUUUGCCCAUUUCUCCUAGGUGGAUACCUAGGAGUGGGUCAUAUGGUAAGUUUAUGUUAAACUUUUUUAAAAAAUCACCAAAUUAUUUUCCAAAGUGGCUACAUCAUUUUACCUUCUCACUAGCAAUGUAUCAAGGUUACACUUGUUUCACAUCCUUACCAACACUGUCAUUUUGACUAUCACCAUUCUAAUAGGUAUGCAUUAGUAUCUCUUUAUGGCUUGAAUUCACAUUUUCUUAAUGCCUAAUGAUGUUGAACAUCUUUUCAUGUGCUUCUUAGCCAUUUGUGUAUCUUCUUUGGAGAAAUGUCUAUUCAAAUCUUUUGCUCACUUUUUAAUUGAGUUUAUUGUUCUUUAUACAUUCUGGAAA